GGCGGCUUAGCUCAGUUGGUUAGAGCGUCGGAAUCAUAAUCCGCAGGUCCCUGGUUCGAAUCCUGGAGCCGCUACCA
rnacentral:tRNA from 6 species